AGAGUUUGAUCAUGGCUCAGGAAGAACGCUGGCGGCGUGCUUAAUACAUGCAAGUCGAACGGAGACAGUAGCAAUAUUGUCUUAGUGGCGAACGGGUGAGUAACGCGUUGGUGACCUGCCUCGAAGAGAGGGAUAACAGUUCGAAAGGAUUGCUAAUACCUCAUGUGGUUGCUUGGGUUAGAGACCUUGCAACUAAACGGAUUUAUUCGCUUCGAGAGGGGCCUGCGUCCCAUCAGCUAGUUGGUAGGGUAAUGGCCUACCAAGGCGAUGACGGGUAGGGGACCUGAGAGGGUGGCCCCCCACAAUGGAACUGAAACACGGUCCAUACACCUACGGGUGGCAGCAGUAGGGAAUAUUGGUUAAUCUGGGAAACCGGGAACCAGCAACGCCGCGUGCGCGAUGAAGGCCUUCGGGUUGUAAAGCGCUUUUAGAGAGGAUGAGGAAGGACAGUACUCUCUGAAUAAGCCUCGGCUAACUACGUGCCAGCAGCCGCGGUAAUA
rnacentral:rRNA from 1 species